rnacentral:miRNA from 1 species
AGGUGAUGCUGUGGUGAUCU